GCCCAUGUGUCGACAAACCACAGCCUGUGCACCUUAUUAGCUUUCUGCAGGUCCCUGCUAACUAAUGGUAUGUACCUGUCCAUCUGCAGAGCCAAAAAUAGCUACUUUUAAAGAACAGAAAGGAAUUCCUGCUGAGCCUGACAGAAGACAAGCCCACCAUGUGUCUGCCUGGUGCUGUGGAGUCCUGUGACAAAGGUGGCUUGAGGCAGUGCAUUUAUUUUCCAGCUGAUGUGCACUGAUAACCUGACCUCUACACUUACAAGAUUCAUGUAAUAUUUCACCGCUUACCUCAGCUUCUACUGGCUCCAUAUUCUAAACCCCCAUGUACAUCACAAAGGACCUUCCAAGCAGCUGACAGACAAAACACUUCUGACACCCAUUCUGGGUAGGAUAACACUUAAAUAUGAGAAGGAAAUACAAUGCUGCUCACUCCCCCAAAGUGCAAGCUAAUUUUAAAGUUAAUACUAAAGCAUCUACAUUUCUGACAAGUCUAAGAUUUCUGAGACCAGAGCAACAAAAGACAGUCAAAUGCAAGUUAGGAGGCUCUAGAGAAGUGUCUUAUCAGAUGCUACUUUUCAGUUUUAAUGAAACUUUCUGCAAAGUGGGAGCUGAGCUGCCUCCAUAUACCACUUCUCUUCUAGGAACUUCACUUGAAGUUAUGGACCUGCUUCCUUAUAUGCAGCCCUUCAUUUCCCCCCAGAAAAGACUUUUAUAUCAGGAAUAUAUAUAUAUAUAUAUAUUUUCUUCAAGAAUAUCUAUUUUCUUC
rnacentral:lncRNA from 1 species